AUGUUCUUUGGAAAAUCUACAUUACGAACUGAAGCUAUUGUGGGACAAAAGAAAGAAAGAAAGAAAGAAAAGGCCCGCUUCUUAGAUGGAUCUCCCACACAAGCUUCACAGUUUUUGAUUACCAUCCUCAAGGUCGCAAGCCUUUCUUACCAGAGCCAGGUUGAUCCUGCAUUCCUGAAGAAAGUAAGUGCCAGCAUGAUUCAGAUUGUUUUGGAUCCAACACAUGGUGACUCGGCCAGGUGGAAGUGGCAAGAAAAUGGUGUCUACUCAGCAGCCUCAACCUACAAGAUGCUCACAGAAGGAGGGAUUACGGUGGCCUACGACAAGGCGAUCUGGAAAUGUUGGGCCCCUUUGUCAUGCAAGAUCUAA
rnacentral:rRNA from 1 species